AGUGAACGCUGGCGGUAGGCCUAACACAUGCAAGUCGAACGGCAGCACAGUAAGAGCUUGCUCUUACGGGUGGCGAGUGGCGGACGGGUGAGGAAUACAUCGGAAUCUACUUUUUCGUGGGGGAUAACGUAGGGAAACUUACGCUAAUACCGCAUACGACCUACGGGUGAAAGCAGGGGAUCUUCGGACCUUGCCCGAUUUAAUGAGCCGAUGUCGGAUUAGCUAGUUGGUGGGGUAAAGGCCCACCAAGGCGACGAUCCGUAGCUGGUCUGAGAGGAUGAUCAGCCACACUGGAACUGAGACACGGUCCAGACUCCUACGGGAGGCAGCAGUGGGGAAUAUUGGACAAUGGGCGCAAGCCUGAUCCAGCCAUACCGCGUGGGUGAAGAAGGCCUUCGGGUUGUAAAGCCCUUUUGUUGGGAAAGAAAAGCAGCAGGUUAAUACCCCGCUGUUCUGACGGUACCCAAAGAAUAAGCACCGGCUAACUUCGUG
rnacentral:rRNA from 1 species